rnacentral:ncRNA from 2 species
CUGCACCGCUGGGGGUGCCCGGCAGCGCCAAUGCUGCACGGGCUGAGACAGUCCCUUUGAACCUGAUUGAGAUCAUCCUCGCGCAGGGAAGCCCGCCCCUCAUUUC